rnacentral:misc_RNA from 1 species
GAUGAAGAACGCAGCGAAAUGCGAUAAGUAAUGCGAAUUGCAGAAUUCAGUGAGUCAUCGAAUCUUUGAACGCACAUUGCGCCCAUUAGUAUUCUAGUGGCAUGCCUGUUCGAGCGUCAUUUCAACCCUUAAGCCUCUGUUGCUUAGCGUUGGGAGCCUACCUACCCGGUAGAUCCUCAAAGUUAGCUGGCAGGGUCGAGGUUCGCCCUAAGCGUAGUAGUUCUUUCUCGCUUCUGCGGCUGCCUAGGCCAUCGCCACAAGCCUUUUAAACUUCAAUGGUUGACCUCGGAUCAGGUAGGAAUACCCGCUGAACUUAAGCAUAUCAAUAAGCGGAGGA